GGAGCCAUGGCUCAGUGGGAGAACAUCUGCUUUGCAUGCAGAAAGUCCUGGGUUCAAGUCUUGGCAUCUCCA